rnacentral:misc_RNA from 1 species
AGGUCGUAUGCCACAGAAUGGA